GACAGAGGUGCCGAGCGUUAGGCGGAAUCACUGGGCUUAAAGCGUGUGUAGGCGGGUCGUUAAGUGCCUUGUGAAAUCCCACAGCUCACCUGUGGAACUGCUUGGCAUACUGGCGGUCUUGAGCCACUUAGGGGCAACCGGAACAAACGGUGGAGCGGUGAAAUGCGUAGAUAUCGUUUGGAACGCCAAUGGUGAAAACAGGUUGCUGGGAGUGCGCUGACGCUGAGACACGAAAGCCAGGGGAGCGAACGGG
rnacentral:rRNA from 1 species